AAGUGUUCACAUGGGGCUGGAAAUCGUAUUUACUAAAGGAAUGAAUUUGGAGAUCCAUUAGUAUCAGGAGAUCCGCAUGGCUAAAAGCCGCUUAUGUUUGAUUGAUCUGGAUUAGAUAUUCACUUGCUUUUUGAGAGAGAGUAGAAAGUUUUGUCAUACUAUAAUAUUGCAUGUUUUUAUAUAUAUGGUUGUUUAUUCACGUCAUUUAUUUUAUUGUUGUGAUAGUUAUUGAAUGUAAUAGUGUGACUUUAUUUAUUAUUUUAGGAGUGAUAGAAAAACGUCAUUUCAUCGAGGAAAAAACAGAAAUGAAAUUUACAAUCCAGAAAAUCGCCCGGCGGGAUAUUGGCUAGUUUGAUUGGUUUGAUCAAUCUAGAAAAUUAAAGAAGAAAAUUAAAGUACACGAAACAUCUUUGGUAAGGUCAUGAGAUGUCGUCAGGAUUGGUUGUUGACUUGCCUUCCAAAAAAUAAAAUUAGCAUCGCCUUUUGUUAGUAUAUAUAAGAUAUUUGGUUGCCGCCAAUUUCAAGCUUAAUUUAUUGACGGUUAGUAGAAAUUAUUUCAUGCCAUCAACCAAUAGAUUUUGAUGAUAUUGUUGACUUUGUUGCCUUAAUUUUGCCUGCUGCUUAUUAUAUUGUAGUGACAGCUGGUAUAGCAGUACUAUGUUCUGAUUAAGCGUUGAGCAGAAUAUACAAGUACGUCGUUGACCUUUUUUUUUU
rnacentral:misc_RNA from 1 species